rnacentral:rRNA from 1 species
CCCUAUGGGGUGCAGCAGGCGCGAAAACUUCACACUGCAGGAAACUGUGAUGAGGGAACUCCAAGUGCAUCCACUAUGUGGAUGCUUUUUUUGACUAUUAAUCGGUCAACGAAUAAGGGCUGGGAAAGACCGGUGCCAGCCGCCGCGGUAAUACCGGCAGCUCAAGUGGUCGUCGCUUUUAUUGGGCCUAAAACGUCCGUAGCCUGUUUGGUAAAUCUGUGGGUAAAUCAACCAGCUUAACUGGUUGAAUUCUGCAGAGACUGCCAGACUAGGGACCGGGAGAGGUGUGGGGUACUCUAGGGUAGGGGUAAAAUCCCGUCAUCCUUAGAGGACCACCAGUUGCGAAGGCGCCACACUGGAACGGAUCCGACGGUCAGGGACGAAGCCUAGGGGCACGAACCGGAUUAGAUACCCGGGUAGUCCUAGGUGUAAACGCUGUGAACUUGGUGUCGGGGAUCCGCAAUGGGUCCUCGGUGCCGGAGUGAAGAUGUUAAGUUCACUGCCUGGGGAGUACGGUCGCAAGGCUGAAACUUAAAGGAAUUGGCGGGGGAGCACUGCAACGGGAGGAGCGUGCGGUUUAAUUGGAUUCAACGCCGGAAAACUCACCAAGGCCGACUGUUAGAUGAAGAUCAGCGUAAUGAGCUUAUCGGAUUUUCAGAGAGGAAGUGCAUGGCCAGGCGAUU